AUUGAACGCUGGCGGCAGGCCUAACACAUGCAAGUCGAGCGAGCGGCGGACGGGUGAGUAAUGUAUGGGGACUGCCCGAUAGAGGGGGAUAACUACUGGAAACGGUAGCUAAUACCGAAUACUAUCGGAUGACCCAUAUGGGAUUCGCUAGUAGGUGAGGUAAUGGCUCACCUAAUCGACGAACCCUUGCUGGUCUGUGAGGAUGAUCAGCCACACUGGGACUGAGACACGGCCCAGCCUCCUACGGAGGCAGCAGUGGGUAAUAUUGCACAAUGGGCGCAAGCCUGAUGCAGCCAGGCCGCGUGUAUGAAGAAGGCCCUAGGGUUGUAAAGUACUUUCAGUCGGGAGGCGUUACCGACAGAAGAAGCACCGGCUAACUCCGUGCCAGCAGCCGCGGUAAUAC
rnacentral:rRNA from 1 species